rnacentral:tRNA from 5 species
GGAGAGGUGUCGGAGUCUGGUUUAUCGAGACAGUCUUGAAAACUGUUGUGCCCGCAAGGGUACCGUGGGUUCAAAUCCCACCCUCUCCG